CUCUUCCCUUUUGCGGCCAUCACCGAAGCGGGAGCGGCCAAAAUGAAGUUUAAUCCCUUUGUGACUUCCGACCGAAGCAAGAAUCGCAAAAGGCAUUUCAAUGCACCUUCCCACAUUCGAAGGAAGAUUAUGUCUUCCCCUCUUUCCAAAGAGCUGAGACAGAAGUACAACGUGCGAUCCAUGCCCAUCCGAAAGGAUGAUGAAGUUCAGGUGUGUAUCCCUACUUGUUCUCGUUGUCUUGAUGGAUAUUUUACGCACUUAGCUUAGAAGAGAGAUUGCAUUCCUGAGAAAGAUGCUUCUGAGACUCUUGCUCCCAAAGAGUGGCAAGAUGAGUUGAGCCAGGGACCAAAAAACAGUAAGUAAGCUGCUUUUCAGUUUUUAAUUGUAUUAUUUGGUGAAAAUCUUUUUUUUUUUUUUUUUUGAGAUGAAGUCUCGCUCUUGUCCCCCCCAGGCUGGAGUGCAGUGGUGCCAUCUCAGCUCACUGCAACCUUCGCCUCCCGGGUUCAGGCGAUUCUCCUGCCUCAGCCUCCCGAGUAGCUGGGAUUACAAGCGCCCGCCACCACGGCUCG
rnacentral:lncRNA from 10 species